CCUACGGGGGGCAGCAGUGGGGAAUAGUGGGCAAUGGGCGCAAGCCUGACCCAGCAACGCCGCGUGAAGGAAGAAGGCUUUCGGGUUGUAAACUUCUUGUCUGAGGGACGAAGCAAGUGACGGUACCUGAGGAAUAAGCCACGGCUAACUACGUGCCAGCAGCCGCGGUAAUACGUAGGUGGCAAGAGUUAUCCGGAUUUCCUGGGUGGAAAGGGCGUGUAGGCGGGAAAGCAAGUCAGAUGUGAAAACUCCGGGCUCAACCCUGGGCCUGCAUUUGAAACUGUUUUUCUUGAGUUCUGGAGAGGCAAUCGGCCUUCCUUGUGUAGCGGUG
rnacentral:rRNA from 1 species